CAGUUACUCCCUCCGUCCGAAAAUACUUGUCAUCAAAAUGGAUAAAAGGGGAUGUAUCUAGGACAAGUAUUUCCGGACGGAGGGAGUACUUG
rnacentral:pre_miRNA from 1 species